CCCUUAGAUGUUCUGGGCCGCACGCGCGCUACACUGAUGCAUUCAACGAGUCUAAAACCUGCUCUGAUAGGGGUGGGUAAUCUUUUGAAUGUGCAUCGUGAUUGGGAUAGAUGAUUGCAAUUUUUCAUCUUCAACGAGGAAUGCCUAGUAAACGCAAGUCAUCAGCUUGCAUUGAUUACGUCCCUGCCCUUUGUACACACCGCCCGUCGCUCCUACCGCUUGAAUGAUCCGAUGAAUAUCAUGGAUUGAGGAUGCAAGUAGGUUAGCCUAUCUUCAUCUUCGAGAAGUGAAGUAAAUCUUAUCAUUUAGAGGAAGGAGAAGUCGUAACA
rnacentral:rRNA from 1 species